AUGGCUGGGUGGGGAUUUCUAACCUUGGUCUCCGGAGUCAUAGUUCAAUGCUCAAACCAUGCAACCUACCUAUUUUUCUCUAUAGUUUUGUCAGCACAGCAACAGGGAUGUUACAGUCAGUCCUCCAUAUUUCCUGGGGUUAGGGGAACAGGGCCUCUCGCCGGCCGCACCGGGAAAGCAAAACACGCGGUGCCAAGGCAAGCUUCUCUCGGGCAGAUCUCUCGGGCCCGCCGCUGCAGCCUCUCCCCGGGCCUCUCUCUUCUCCGGCUUCUCCUCCUGCCUCUCCCUCUGCCCGCCUUCGCUCCGGAUGCAGCAAGCGGCGCAGACAGGAAACCCAUCCCGACCCCCGGCUGGCCGCAGACGGCAGACAAAGAGAGAGCGCAGCCUCCCGGUCCUUGGCGAAGUGGCCAGGGCCCUCUUGCGGCGGGAGAGCGAGGCAGAGGCAGGCUCCCGAUAGACUGGCAGGCAGCGGCAAACUUGGGCCCUCUCUCCGGGGGUUUUGGACUCCAACUCCCACCAUUGCUCACAGCCUCAGGCCCCUUCCUUUCCCCCCUCAGCCGCUUAUGGCCAUACCGCUUGGAAAACUCACAGCAACCCAAUGGUUCAAGCCAUGAAAGCCUUCGACAACACAUUGGAUUUUAAUGUAUUAUAUUAUUUUGUGUAUCGUUGAAUUGUUUUGUCAAAUAUGUUGUGUCGUUAUUCGGGCUUGUCCCUGUUGUGAGACGCCGAGUCCCUUCGGGUAAAUGGGGCGGGAUAUAAAAAUAAAGUUUAUUAUUAUUUUAUUGUAUGACACAGAAAACAAGAUAGAUAUGCUGGAAUUCGUAUCGCAAAAUCAGUCAAACACUUCCCAAGUCUCUAGGACUGCGUCAUGUAUUUUCGGAUGAUGCAUGCAGAUCCCAGUAGGGUGGCCUUUUGCAGUUGGCAGAUCGUGAUUUUGUCAAGGUCUAUUGUUUCCAAAUGCCGGCUGAGAUCUUUUGGCACGGCACCUCAUGUGCCCAUCACCACCGGGACCACCUGCACUGGUUUCUGCCAGUCUUUGAAGUUCAAUCUUGAGGCCCUGAUAGCGGCUGAGUUUUUCCUGUUGUUUUUCGUCAAUGCGACUGUCACCUGGGAUGGCAACAUCAAUGAUUCAGACCUUUUUCUUUUCCACAACUGUGAUGUCUGGUGUGUUGUGUUCCAGAACUUUGUCAGUCUGGAUUCGGAAGUCCCACAGUAUCUUUGCAUGCUCAUUUUCCAAUACUUUUGCAGGUUUGUGAUCCCACCAGUUCUUUACUGCAGGGAGGUGAUACUUGAGGCAUAAGUUCCAAUGAAUCAUUUGGGCCACAUAGCUGUGCCUCAGUUUGUAGUCUGUCUGUGCGAUUUUCUUACAGCAGCUGAGGAUAUUAUCAAUAGUUUUGUCAGUUUCCUGCACAGUCUGCAUCUUGAGUCAUCAGCUGAUUUUUCGAUCUUGGCCUUAAUUGCAUUUGUUCUGAUGGCUUGCUACUGGGCUGCAAGAAUCAGGCCUUCUGUCGCUUUCUUCAGGGUCCCAUUCGUGAGCCAUGGCCAAAAGUAAAGUUUAUUAUUAUAGUAUUUGAACUGACGAGUUCCCACAACUAUUGUAAUUUAUAAAUGAUUUCAAAAUGUUUAUGUUUUAUUUUAUAGUUGGUUUUAUUGUUAUAUGUAUGGUUGAUUUGCAUUGUUUUAAAAUGUUGUGAGCCGCUUUGGGUCCUGUUUAGGAAGAAAAGCAGGAUAUAAAUAAAGAUUUAUUGGGUUGUUGCAUGUUUUCUGGGCUUUAUGGCCAUGUUCCAGAAGUAUUCUCUCCUGACGUUUCGCCCUCAUCUAUGGCAGGCAUCCUCAGAGGUUGUGAGGUACAGUAGAGUCUCACUUAUCCAACAUAAACGGGCCAGCAGACUGUUGGAUAAGCGAAAAUGUUGGAUAAUAAGGAGGGAUUAAGGAUAAGCCUAUUGAACAUCAAAUUAAAUUAUGAUUUUACAAAUUAAGCACCAAAAACACUAUGCUUUACAACAAAUUGACAGAAAAAGCAGUCCCAAACACGAUAACGUUAUGUAGUAAUUACUAUAUUUACCACCAAAACAUUGCAAUAUAUUGAAACCAUUGACUAAAAAAAUUGGCUACUAAGAAAUUGACUACAAAUAAAGAUAAAACUGCAUAAAAUGAACUUACAAUAGUGACAUUGUCAGAAAUUAAAUCCAUGAAAAGUUCAAAUCUUGCUGCCUAGAGAAACAGCUGUGGAUCGGGGUGGGAGGCAAACUUGAUUGGAUAAUCCCGAACGUUGGAUAAGUGAAUGUUGGAUAAGUGAGACUCAACUGUAUCUCACAACCUCUGAGGAUGCCUGCCAUAGAUGUGGGCAAAACGUGAGGAGAGAAUACUUCUGGAACAUGGCCAUACAGCCCGGAAAACAUACAACAACCCUGUAAUCCCGGCCAUGAAAGCCUUCGACAACACAUUAAAGAUUUAUUAUUAUAUAAUUAUUAUUAUGACUUCAAUGUUGUCAAAUUUAUUUGUACAUGAAUCUAAGCUGGAAUGCAUAGUUGUAUUUCUUGCAUUGCAUUGCUCUCUGCCGUAAUCGUUUUGUUAGAUCCCGGAUAUAUUGUUCUUCUUUGGUGACUUAGGCUGAAAGAAAGCACUUGACCUCAAGUCACCCACUGACCUUUUUAGCUGAAAUCAGGCUGCCUCCACACAACUGUAUAAAAUCCACAUUGAACUGUAUUAUAGGGCUAUGAGGACUCAGAUAACUCAGUUCAAAGCAGAUAUUGUAGAUUAUCUGCCUUGAUCUUCUGGGUUAUGUGGCUGUGUGGAAGGGCCUUCAGAAGGAUUUGAACCCAGGUCUUCCUGUCUUUAGAUGGAGUCUACAACCACUUCUACAAUUGUUUUCAAUAAAAUAAGACAUAUGUAUACUUAGAAUUACAACUUUAAAAUACCAGAUAGUUAUUUUGUAUUUUUCACAUUUUUGUCCCACCUUACCUCUUCAGAACUUGGGUGGGAGACACAUUUCUCUUCCCUGUCCCUCAUUUUUAUCUGUCUUAGGCUAGGCUGAUAGUAACUGGCCCACAAUAACAAUGGGUUUUGUAUCUCUCUGGACACAAAUCGCUUCAUCAUUUUGGUGCUUAAAAUAAUUACCUUCAAUUUUUUGUAUGUUUAGGCCAUAUCAGAUAUGCUAUACAGCGGGCCCUUGGUGUCUGUUGACAUUUGGUUCCUUGUGGAACCCCAAAUCUGUGGAUGGUCAAGCCCCAUUAUAUACAAUGGCAUAGUAAAAUGGUGCCCCUUAUAUAAGAUGUUGUUUGUAGCUUUCAAUAAUGUCUCCCAUUACUAGAUAAUUUUUAAUAUUUUAAAUUGUACAUUUUUUUAAAAAGGAACAUAUUUAUAAUACAUUGCUAAAACAAUAAAAAGAGAAAGUGUACUGCCAGCACAAACUACUUUUUGAAGUAACACCAUUGUGAUAUAGCUUUAAGGCAAUAUCCCUGGCUGGGUGAAAUAUUGUGUGUGUGAGAGAAAACGUGCUCUGUUCUCUUUGGUAUAAGAUUUGUUUAAGAGGGAACAAGAAAGUCGAACUUGUAAAGGACCAGACGGUGCCACAAAGAGACAUGAAUCAAGUAGUGCUCCAUCAGCUGAAAACAUAUAGGCGCACUAUGUCUUACAUAACAAAUGCCCUCCUAAGAUGUACUGCACAACUCCCAUCAUCCCCAGGCAACACAUUUUUUAAAAAAUAAUGCGAUCACUGUGAUAUACAGUAUAUGUAAAGGCAAUAUAACGUUCAGUAGUUUUAAAAACCCUUCUCAAAGUUUUCACAGAUAAAAGAGACGAACAAUCAAGAUAAAACGAAUUUAAAGUAAACGUAAUUUCUUAUUAAGCCUUGUGGUGAAGACUGAGAAAUUUCCAACUUUCAAGUAAAGACGAAGUUCUAAUGGCUUAGAUAACCAUGGCAUCCCUACUGCAGUACUGGAAAAUAACACAUAUUUUUGGUGAUCAUAUCAAAUUUGUUACCACAAACAGAACAAUUGUGAUUAAUAGUGGGUAUCCAAAGGGUCUCACUGCCAUAGAGAAACCACUUGAAACUGGUUCCAUUUGAAAUUCAGCUUUCAGUAGAUUCAGGAACAGGUCUGGCUGAUCGAUGAAAACAAAGCUAAGGGUGUGUGCCUUUGGAUCCAGACAUGUAGUAACAUUUAUUGUAAUGUCUCAAACCCUUUAGUCCAGGGCAAAGACCUGUAUAUACACCCUCCUCCACCAGACAUUACAGAAAGGCAACCCCCAAGUAAAACGUAGCCAACAUGGCCAAUGGGGAGGAAUAUUGGAAGCUGCCAUUCAAUAUUUAGAGAACUGCAAAAACCAACCCCUUUUAACCUAUAAGGCAUUUUUCAAAAUUAUUUUGGAUUGGCAGCUUUUCAGACCAUUGUGGUUCAUAAAAGAGCACUGUCAAGCUUUGGUCAUUCAAGUAUCUGCUAUGGUGUUCAUGAAACUUGCAGAGAAAGGUUUCUCUCUCAAGGAACAGCUGAGUACUGGAGAGGGACACAAGAGAGGCUGCUUUGAAUCUGUAUAGUGCCCCAGCCAAGUUCCUGCUAUACACAAAUCCACCCACAGUCUGUGCUUGGUUUACCCCAAAUUCUUGUGCCAUGGAUUGAUCACCUUGUUGUGCAUUGACAGAAUAAAUUCUUGCAAAAGUUUCCUGUGCUGCUGUGCUGGAAUUACAGCUUGAGACUAAACAAAAAUUGAACAGCUUCUCUGUGCUUGUUUCGACAGCUGCCUUGCCUUCCUGCAGAAGAAAAAAAAAUCAAAAAGAAAAUAGUCAGGAGAAUGGGAAGAAAACUGCAGCUGCUAAAGCCCUAUUCAGCAACAGGGG
ensembl:lncRNA